UACGUAGGGGGCGAGCGUUGUCCGGAGUUACUGGGCGUAAAGCGCACGCAGGCGGUCUGCUAAGUUUGGAGUGACAGUUGGUGGCUCAACCACCAAAGUGCUUUGAAAACUGACAGACUUGAGGGCUUCAGAGGGACACGGAAUUCCGGGUGGAGUGGUGGAAAUGCGUAGAGAUCCGGAGGAACACCGAAGGCGAAGGCAGUGUCCUGGGGAGUACC
rnacentral:rRNA from 1 species